rnacentral:piRNA from 1 species
UUGGUUGACUAGUUGGGGUGCAAAACCUUG